AUGCGCUCAACGUAUAGGCCGCCGAAAAUACUGGGCAGCUAGGGAGUGGGAGAGGUACACGGUACUCAAUAGGAAGGGGUAAAAUCCUUUGAUCUAUUGAUGACCACCUGUGGCGAAGGCGGUGUACCAGAACACGUUCGACGGUGAGGGAUGAAAGCUGGGGGAGCAAACCGGAUUAGAUACCCGGGUAGUCCCAGCUGUAAACGAUGCAGACUCGGUGAUGCAUUGGCUUGUGGCCAAUGCAGUGCCGCAGGGAAGCCGUUAAGUCUGCCGCCUGGGAAGUACGUACGCAAGUAUGAAACUUAAAGGAAUUGGCGGGGGAGCACCACAAGGGGUGAAGCCUGCGGUUCAAUUGGAGUCAACGCCAGAAAUCUUACCUGGGGCGACAGCAGGAUGAAGGUCAAGCUGAAGACUUUACCAGACAAGCUGAGAGGUGGUGCAUGGCCGUCGCCAGCUCGUGCCGUGAGAUGUCCUGUUAAGUCAGGUAACGAGCGAGACCCCUGCGUCUAGUUGCUACCAUUACUCUCUGGAGUAGUGGAGCGAAUUAGACGGACCGCCACAGUUAAUGUGGAGGAAGGAAGGGGCCACGGCAGGUCAGUAUGCCCCGAAACCCUAGGGCUACACGCGGGCUGCAAUGGUAUUGACAAUGUGUUCCGAAUCCGAAAGGAGGAGGCAAUCAUCAAACGAUACCUCAGUUAUGACUGAGGGCUGUAACUCGCCCUCACGAAUAUGGAAUCCCUAGUAACUGCGCGUCACUACCGCGCGGUGAAUACGUCCCUGCUCCUUGCACACACCGCCCGUCGUUUCAUCGAAGUUGGCCUUUAGUGAGGUAGUGUCUUGUUGGCAUUAUCGAGCUUGAGGUCAGUGACGAGGGAAAAGUCGUAACAAGGUA
rnacentral:rRNA from 1 species